GAAUAUUGGACAAUGGGCGCAAGCCUGAUCCAGCCAUGCCGCGUGUGUGAAGAAGGCCUUCGGGUUGUAAAGCACUUUCAGCGAGGAGGAAGGGUGUUGUGUUAAUAGCACAGCACUUUGACGUUACUCGCAGAAGAAGCACCGGCUAACUCCGUGCCAGCAGCCGCGGUAAUACGGAGGGUGCAAGCGUUAAUCGGAAUUACUGGGCGUAAAGCGCGCGUAGGUAGUUCAGUAAGUUGGAUGUGAAAUCCCCGGGCUCAACCUGGGAACUGCAUCCAAAACUGCUGAACUAGAGUACGGUAGAGGGUGGUGGAAUUUCCUGUGUAGCGGUGAAAUGCGUAGAUAUAGGAAGGAACACCAGUGGCGAAGGCGACCACCUGGACUGAUACUGACACUGAGGUGCGAAAGCGUGGGGAGCAAACAGG
rnacentral:rRNA from 1 species